rnacentral:tRNA from 1 species
AAUGAAGAAGCUAAAGUAAAAUGUCAUUUUACAUUAAUAAUUCUUAU